rnacentral:rRNA from 1 species
GGCUCAGGACGAACGCUGGCGGCGUGCUUAACACAUGCAAGUCGAACGGGAGUAUUGAAGAAGCUUGCUUAGAGAUACUUAGUGGCGGACGGGUGAGUAACGCGUGAGGAGCUGUCCUAUGCAGGGGGACAACAGCUGGAAACGGCUGCUAAUACCCCAUAAGCCGAGAGGUAAAAGGAUCAAUCCGGCAGAGGAGGUACUCGCGUCCUAUCAGCUAGUAGGUGAGGUAACGGCUCACCUAGGCGAAGACGGGUAGCCGGCCUGAGAGGGCGAACGGCCACACUGGAACUGAGAUACGGUCCAGACUCCUACGGGAGGCAGCAGUGGGGAAUAUUGGGCAAUGGGGGAAACCCUGACCCAGCGACGCCGCGUGGGUGAAGAAAUCCUUCGGGAUGUAAAGCCCUGUUGUAUGGGAAGAGCGGAAGACGGUACCAUACGAGGAAGCCCCGGCAAACUACGUGCCAGCAGCUGC